GAUAGCAAAAUAUGGGAUUUACAUCAACAAAGCAGCAUUCUCCCUGUGUUAAGAUUGAGUUACCAUCAUCUUCCGUCUCAUUUGAAAAGAUGUUUUGCUUUUUGUGCCAUCUUUCCAAAAGAUUAUGAAUUCACUGAGAAGGGGCUAACUUUCUUGUGGAUGGCUGGAGGUAUUAUUCGACAGUCAAGAAACAGUGAGCAGCUGGAAGAUUUGGGCAGCAAGUGCUUUCAUGAUCUAGUGUCAAGGUCUAUUUUUCAACAAACCAGCUCUGGUAGUUCUAAAUUUGUAAUGCACGACCUUAUCCAUGAUUUUGCUGAAUUGGUUUCUGGAGAGACCAUUUUAAGGUUAGAGGAAUCCACCAACUUGUCGUCAAGGAGAUUUGAAAGAGUUCGCCAUUCUUCCUAUGCCCGUGGUUGGCUUGAUGGUAAAAAUAAGUUUGAGGUUUUCUAUGAAAUUGAACAUCUGCGAACAUUCUUGCCAUUCUGCAUAAGAGGUGGCCCUAAUACUAGUUACGUAACUAGUUUACUUCUAUAUGAUUUGUUGCCGAAGUUUAAAAAGUUGAGGAUGCUAUCUUUAGAAGGAUACCAGAUUGGUGAGUUACCAAUUCCAUUUGAAGAUUUGAGACCUUUAAGGUUCCUCAACCUUGCCGACACUGACAUAAGAAGUUUACCCGAGUCAACAUGCAAAUUGCUGAACUUGGAAAUUUUGAUAUUACGAAAUUGUUCCCGUUUGAUAAAGCUUCCGCCCAAAAUGAGGAAUUUGAUCAAUUUACGCCAUCUCGAUAUAAAAGGUGCAAAGCUGCUGAAGGAGAUGCCAUUGGGAAUGAAAGCGUUGAGGAGUCUUCAAACAUUGUCCAAUUUUAUUGUAGGCAAGGGUGAAUCUGCAUCUGGUUUGGAAGAUUUAAAAAGUUUAAACUUUCUUUGUGAUGAACUCUGCAUUGCUGGAUUAGAGAGUGUGAAUAGUCCACAGAAUGCAAGAGAAACCGCAUUAUGCGAGAAGCACAAUCUUGAAGCAUUGACUCUAGAAUGGGGGUCUCAAUCUAACAGUCCUCGGGAUGCAGUACUAGAGGAGAAUGUACUUGACACUCUACAGCCUCAUAAACGUAUAAAAGAGCUGGCAAUCAGGCACUAUGGUGGUGCAAGAUUUCCACUUUGGAUCGGACAUCCUUCGUUCUCCGAGAUGAAGGUCCUUAAAUUGGAGAACUGUGACAAGUGUGUAUCUCUGCCAUCGCUUGGCCUGAUGAAUUCACUUAAGCACCUUGCUGUUAAAGGGCUGAAGAAACUAAAAAGCAUAGAGUCUGCGGUCUUUCCAUCAUUGGAGAUUCUAAGUUUUGAGAAUUUGCCAGAAUGGGAGCAUUGGGACACCAAUAUCAAUGGAAAUGUGCACGUUGAAAUAUUUCCUCAUCUCCAAGAACUUUCCAUUGCAGAAUGUCCCAAACUCUCUGGAGAACUGCCUGAGCUCCUGCCCUCCUUGGAGACACUUGUCGUUAGUAAAUGUGAACAGUUGGCAGUUCCAUUGUCUUGCUAUCCGAUGCUCUGCAGAUUAGAAGUUGAUGAGUGCAAAGAACUCGUGUGCGGGACUCCAAUUAAUUUUAAGUUGGUAAAGUCUUUGACCAUUUCAAAUAGUUCAUUAGACAUGAAUGGAUGCAAUGGGAUGCUAUACCAUGGUCCAGCUGGCUCUUCACUGUCUAAACGCAUGACUAUUACAAAUGUUUUGGAGUUUGGAAAAUUAUUGAAGCCUGGAUUUCAGAUAUUAGAAUAUUUGGUAAUUGGCAAUUCUGAACAGCUCAAGUCAUGGAGGCGGGCCAGGAGACCUAGACGUUUUAAUGAACCAGAACACGGGCUAAAAAUUCUCGCUUCCCCUGAAGAGGUAACAAUUGAAGAAAGUUGCGUAAAUCUUGUUUUGUUUGCAGAGAUCAAUUUCUUUCCCAGAAAUCUGCGCUCUCUUCUAAUUUUCAAUAACAUACCUUUAAAAUCCUUACCCGAGGAAAUGAUGGACAACAAUUCACAACUGGAAAGCUUGUGCAUCAGAAAUUGCGAUUCUCUAACAUUCAUCACAAGACACAAGCUACCUUCAUCUCUAAAAAGUAUAGCAAUUAAGAAUUGUGAGAAAUUGCAACGUCCGUUCGAUGAUGAAGAGGAUGCUUCUUCUUCUUCUUCUCCUUCAUCCUCGUCUUCCCCAGUGAUGCUGCAAUGCCUGACUAUAGAGAACUGCCCAGAGCUCACCAGUUUAUCAUCGGGAAUCCAAUUCCUUGAGGCGCUUGAAGUACUCGAGCUAAGGGAUUGUCGAAAGCUGGAGUCAUUACCGGAUGGCCUGCAAAAUCUUAACUGUUUACAGAGCAUUCAUAUAGAUGGAUGUCCAAGUCUUGUUUCCUUCCCAGAAAGAGGGCUUCCCAACACCAUUUCGAGAGUUUACAUUCGUGGUUGUGAGAAGCUUGAAGCCCUGCCCAACGACAUGCACAAACUCAACUCUCUCGAAACUUUAAACAUACGGAAAUGUCCAAAUCUUGUAUCGUUUCCAGAGGAAGGUUUUCCUACCAGUCUAGUAUCACUUACAAUUGGAUAUGUCAAAAUGUAUAAGACACUCGUCCAGUGGGGGUUGCAUAGGCUUACCUCUCUUACACACCUCGAGAUUAUUGGAUGUGAUGAUGAAGCAGAGUGUUUUCCAGACGAGGAGAUAGGAAUGAUGCUGCCCACCUCUCUCACUCAUCUGCAACUUUCGGAAUUCAAAAAAUUGAUAUCUCUCUCUUCGACGGGUUUUCAGAGCCUCAACUCUCUUCAAUCUUUGUGGAUAUUGGGUUGCCCAAAUCUCACAUCAUUCCCAGAGGUGGGCCUUCCAUCCUCACUUUUGGAAUUACACAUUGUCAAGUGUCCAAAGCUUAAAGAAGUUUGCAAAAGAGACCAAGGAGAAGAGUGGCCCAAAAUUGCUCACAUCCCUUGUUUUGAGAUAGACUGGAAAUUCAUAUACGAUCCAGAAUCAGAGGAGUAGAUUCUCCUAUUAAGGUCAGUUGAUUUUUUAUUAUCCGUUAUAACAAGCUCCUCCUUUUUUAUUUUUUUAAUAAUAAUUUAGCAGUUCUAUAUAAUUAUAAAUCCUCCGCCCUUAAUUGAAAAUGUCACUCAUUUGAUUCCAUUUUCACAAGUCAGAUCGUAUGUUGAGGUUAUUUGCAUUUUAUCGGUGUUUAUUAAGGUAAUUAGUGCGUUAUAGGUUGAUUACUCACAGAUUAAGUUAUAACAUUUAUCUUAAAAUUUAAUGUCAUAGACAGAGAUGAUUUUUUAAUCCAAAGUUUUCUUGAUUCACUUCAAUUAGCAUUUUCUUUUCCCCAGAUCAGGCACGCGGAGAGUUCCAAUCAAGAAUUGGAGCAUGUGAAUGGGAUUUUUGUGAAAACAUAAUGAUGCAGGAACUGGGAUCUCAAAGUCAACAGAAUUUUAUUUACUCAUUGACUUUUCAACUCCUGUGGUUAUUUAUGGGUGAAAGAAAGAUAAGGGCAAUUUCAAGAAAUUUGCAAACUCUGUCAAUUUCUUUUAAUUGUACCAAUUUGUCGUUUAUGCUUUGGUUUUAUUUUUUCAGUUUUGUUUAUUGCUUAGAUGGUAGCAUACUUGAAAUGAUACAUAGCCUUCACCGGCAGAAUUCUAGUCUUGGCUUUCACCUCUCUAACUCAUCUCAUCUGUUCCUAUUGGGAUUCCAGAAAUUGAAAUUUCUGUCAUCAAUGGGUUUCAAAGCCUCACCGCUCUCCGAUUUUUGUGGAUCGGGAAUUGCACAAAUCUCACAUCAUUUCCAGAGGUGGGCCUUCCAUCCUUGCUUUUUGGAAUUACAAAUUGGAAAAUGCUACUUUCCCCGGGUCAAAUCCCAGGUCAAACCCCGAAUUAAACCAAAACGACACCGUUUUGGUUUCUUUUUUUUGUCCUUUUUGCUUCCAUGAAACGUGGUCGUUUCAGCCAAACAAAAGCAAAUGUCUUCGUUUUUUACUUCCUCUCCUCUUCGAUUCUCCUCUUCGUUUUACCAACAGACCAACAGAGCACAAAUUGCAGAAGUCACUUGCACAUCAAUUCAUCACAAAAUGCAGAGUUUUACUAAAGAAAAAAACGAUGCCGUUUUUCUUGCCAAAUAUUUUCCAUUUCCUUCGUUCAUGGAGCUCCUGCCACCGCCAAAGCCAAAUAUUUCCCCUUUCAUUUCCUUCGUCAAUCAAGCUCCAGCCACUUGCUUCGUCGAUCGAGCUCUAGCCACAGCCAUUCGCAAAUCGCAGUCCACAAUCCGCGCCUGAAAUUGUCAUUCACAAUCCACAACUCACAACCAUGACUUCACACAGAGAACGACUCCCACAGCCUUCACGCGACAGCGAGAUCGAGCUCUUUAACAUUCGAAGAACAUAUCUGGUUGCGAAAGUUGAUUUUUAAUUUGCUUGCGAGCUGAGAUGCUUCGAAUUCUCUGUUUUUUUUUUUUUUUUGUAAAUUACUAAGCCAAAAGCUUUGCAUAAGCUUCUGCUUCGGUUUUGAAGAUUGUGAAGCUGGAAAUGUUUUUUCCCUUUUUAUAAAUGGAUAAUUGAAAGUUUGAACUUUACCUUCGUACUUUCUUUUUCAUAAAUUGCUCAUGGUGCAGUCUCAUUUUGCUAGUUGAAGAAACAGUUAAGGGGGUCUGUAGUUGGGAAGAAAGAGGAAACGAAAAUGAAAAGAAAAAGCUUAAGUCUCGGUGCGUUCAAGUAGCAUUUUUUCAAUUAAAAAAUUUAAUUCUCAAAACGGCGUCGUUUUCUAAAGUUUCGGGGUUUGACCCGGGAUUUGACCCGGGGUAAAUAGCAGAACUCUUACAAAUUUACAGUUGUCAGAAGCUUGAAAAAGUGUGUAAAAGAGAUCAAAAUUCUUGUCUUGGCUUUCACGUAGGGAUGGCAAAAAUCCCCACGGGGACGGGUACCCUCGGGGAUUUUCCCCAUUCGGGGAGGGUAUGGGGAUAAUUUCAUACCCAAUUUCUUAUUCGGGGAGGGGACGGGGAAAUUUUGUUACCCAAUUUCUUAUUCGGGGAGGGGACGGGGAUGAGGUGGAAUCCCCAUCCCCUACCCAUUUCCCCAUUUUAAUUUUUAAUUUUAUUUUAAUUUUUUAAAAUUACUAGUAAAUAAAUAAUAAAAUUUAAAUUAUAAAAUUAUAAAUAUUGGUAAAAAUAAAAAAUAUCAAAAUAUUUAUAUUAUUAAACUUUUAGGCUUAAUUAACUAAUUAAAGUCCUAAAUUUUUAUUUAGGACAUUAAAAAGACCGAGUAGAUUCUAUUAGCCCAAAAGUUUUUUAUUUUUAAUAUUCUUUAAAUAUUUUAAACUUAAAUCUAUUUUUUAUUUAUUUUUAGAUGUUAUAAUUGCCCACAUCGAAUCACAAUUUUAAUAUCUAAUCUAAUCUAAUCUAAUCUAAUAUUUACUCUUGAUUUGCUCCGAUUUAACUAUUGUGUUGUAAAGGGAAUAGUCCACAUUUAUAAAGUGCCCACGCCACCAUUAAAAAAGUUAAUUUUGAAUCUAAAUUCGAUUUUAUUUGUAACAAUUUUGUAUUAAACUAUUAAUUUGUUCAUGAUAGUUUGUAAAAGAAGUUUGUAUCCCUUGCAUGCUGUGUUACUUACUAAUUUAAUGUAUGUGACUUUUGUAAUGGAUAUUAAUGUAAGAUAUAUUUCAAAUUUUACUUUUAUUUGAAUUUUUUAUUUUAAUAUGAUUAACUCAAAAUCGAAAAAAAAAUAUUAGUUAUUCGGGGAUCGGGGACCCUCGGGGAUCCCCUGUUAUUAUUCGGGGAGGGGAUGGAGAUUCGCUCAAGUAAUUCUGACGGGAACGGGGAGGGGACGGGGACAUACGCAAAAUAUCGGGGAUGGGUACGGAGAGAUUGGUCCCCUCCCCUCCCCUCCCCAUUGCCAUCCCUACUUUCACGGAUAGUUUUUAUCACGUAACCACGUGAGGAAGCAUGUGCUGGAGCCUGAAUUCAGUUAGUUAAAGUUUGUUAACCACGUGUCAACAAACUGUAUAAUCUGGAAAAUAAGCUAGCUAUUGAAACAGGGUAUAAAGGCUGGUUUUUCAGGGACUAUCGAGAGCUGAUUCUAGAGUCUUGUAGAAAGAGGUUUGUGAGAGAGAAAGUGUCAUCUUGUUCUCUGUAAAAUCCGAUAUAGGGCUCUGUAACGAUCUCCAUUGUUGAAUCAAUAAAACUCAUCUAGAAGCUUCUCUCGUGGACGUAUUCUGAGCAAUCAAUGCACAGCUGAACCACGUAAUAUCUUGGUUUCUGUGGGUUCUUGUUUUGGUUCUUGAUAAAUUCUUGUUGUUGUAUUGAGGUGUGAUUUGAUCUGUCUAAACUUGUAUCUGUGCAACUUGAAUUGAUUUGAUGAUAAGAAUCUUGGGCAGUGAUCAGAUUCGUUUAGUUUAAAGAACAAGCUGAUUACUACCGUACCUAUGCAUGGACCUGCAACCUGUGCUGACAAAACUGAAACUGUGAGUUUGAGGUAAAAAGGUCCUGGACCCUCACAGUUUAACUUUGACUUGUUGCUUUCUGGAUAAACAUAUUUUAGAAAUUUGCAAUUUGUUGUUAAUUAUGGUAUGUGAUUUUCUUCUUUGUUUUCGCUUUUGUAGAAUCUACCGUAUUACAUAUUGGCAGUUGUAUCUGAGGUACCUUUUUUGCAUUUAACUUGCCUUUAUCUGUUUUGCCUGUUACUUAACAACACAAACACAUCAUUUCCCAAACAUUUGGAGAAGCAUCUCAAGAUGCUUAACAAACUUGACAAACUUCAAGAUGCUCCCAAGCCUUGAUUCUUCACAAUGGAAGACCUGUGAGUACACUUAUGCCCGCAAUUAUUGUGAAGUGAUUGCAACUUUGAUGCAGCGAAAUGGUUUGCUGAUGCAAAGCUUUAAAACUGUUAAGAAUUACCCUGCAGGCUUGUUGGAUGUUGUAUACUCCAAAAGCCACCAACACCAAGAACUAUAACAGCAAGACUAGGUUUGCAUUAAUUCAAUUAGCUGAAAUAAUGAUGCAAAUGGCACUAUCCAGCUCGACUUAGAGACUAGUCAGGUCAAUCAUCCAUUUCAUCAACAGUUAAUGUCAGGAUGGUGGCUAGCAGAGGAAACAAAGGAUAUGUUGGAAUCAAUAAGAACAGUGAGAAGCAUGAGAGGAGCUUUGAUUAUAAGUAGGCUCAAUGAACUAGUGUUGGUAAGUGGUAAUUAGAGCAAUUUGUGAGCUUAGUAGAGUUUCAAUAUUUUCUGUUUGGGAUAUAGUUGAUAAGUUGAUACUCUGAUUAAGAAGGCUGAUUAUAGUAGCUGACUAUAUUAACCGGGUUCUCUUUUUUGGUUUGCUGUUGUUUUUUCUUUCAAUAUCUUUUUCAACAUUAGGUUUAGCUGUUGAAGAACAAGCUUGGGUUUGAUUAUCAGGUAAGAACAAAUGAAUGCUUUAACCAUGUUUCUCACUUAUCACAAUGCACGGAUUGAAGGCGUCUGAGUUGAUCCUGAAAAUUUGAUGGAAACACUUCUCUGUUUUCAUAAAACAGGACAACCAGAAAUAUCUGAUCAUGCCUGAGAAUUCGUCGCAUUGAAAUUUUCUACCAUUGCCAAACAUAGAAUAAACCAGGGAUACAUUAGCUUAAGACUCAAUUUUGAGAAGGAAGUUUGUACUUGCAGACUAUAAAAUCAUGUCUACCUUGUAUGUUUCUGUGGGGAAUGAAAGAUUCUGUGUGUUCUUUUACUUCGGGUUUGCUGAAAUCACAUUUGUUUUCUCAGAUGCUUUCCGGAAGGUAACAACGUCAAUUUCAAAAAUGUUGGGGUAAGAUGCAUCAUGCAGUGCUGCUCAACAUGAGAAUUCCUGGCCGCAUUACCCGUAUGUGGAAUGAUCUCACACUACAACCUUGAGAAGGUUGUAAGGAGUACACAACUAGAUGCGAGUAGUUUCAAAAUGAAUUCACAUGGAAUUAUAUGUUGCCGCUUAUUACUAUCACGUCUAUCCGAAAAUUCUUGGAAUUUGUCACCGGCAUUGAAGGAUUGUAUACGUGAAGACAUAGCUGAUGGCCUUGCGAAAGCUCCAUCAGCACUUAUAUCGGAAACAGCUGGUUGUAGUUGCUCCUGAGUGAUAUGAUUAAUAGAUACUGUAAAAAUGAACUGUGCCACUCAUAUCGAAAACCAGCUGUUAUGAUGUGUUGGUAAUGUGUUUGAUGCUUGUUUGAUUUAUGUUGUAUUCGGCUAUAAAUCAAAGAUCAGAACAUGGGUGUGUUACUGGUUUCCAAAUCAAAAAAUGCCUUGUGAUGUUAGUGUUCACUGUUUUCACAGGAGACCAGGUUCCUUGUUAAUGAGUCAAGAAGAAGACAAGUGAAUCCAUGUCUGAGUUCAAAUGUGUCUUUUCUAUUUCUUUUACCGACACAUUUAUUUUGAUUUCUUUGACUAGAUGACUAAAGAGUAAAGAUAGAAGAAAUCAAAACAAAUGAGUCAGGUCCCACCUGGCCCAUUGGCCCAUCUCUCUUCCAGCCCAAAUCACUCUCAUUCGCUAUUUUGCCACCUUCAUUUCACUGCCCUCAUAGCUCCCCGUUCUCACGGUGGCUGCCAUCUUUCUGCUCACGCAUCUUUCAAAUUUCAAACCUAACAGCAUUCUGUUGCUCUGUCGUGGGUACUUCAACUUCUGUCACCUUCGGUAAGCUUAUCUCUGCCCCUCUGUGGCUGUCUCUCUCUUUACAAUGUUGUUUCUUAUUCAAUUUACAGAAUUGAAUUCACUGUUCAGUUUAUGGGUUAGAUUUUUAUUCAAAAUAAUAUUAAACCCACCUCAGAUUUUAUCCCGUAGUAUGUAAAGUUCAUGUAAAGUUUCCACCUUUACGACCGUCCGAUGUUUAAAGUUCUAAUUUUGUUCCGGGGUUUUAUCAGUGUAUUUAGAAAUUAUGUCCAUUGUUUUUAUGAAAAUGGAACUAUUUUCAUUUGUUUAUUUCUCUAUGGAUGAGAAAACCGGUCUUUAAGCUUUAUAAUCUUUAUUUGAUUAUUAGAUUUCUCUUUUGUUAUUCAGAUGAGUUCAGUUUUCCAAUUCUGUGCAAUUGUUUUGUUGCAUUUUUCAAUUUUAUCUUUUUCCAAUGCGACGUUUAUGUUUGUAUUUUCUUAAAAGUGGACAUGAAUUUUGAUUUGUUGUUGCUUUGUUGUGAUUGAGUAGCCAAUUUUAAGUCCAUAUUAAACUUUCUCAAUUAUUAGUUGAAUUAUUUGGAUUUGAAAUUUUAAGUUCUUAAAACCGCCAUUUUAACUUGUUUGUUAAUGGCUCUGUUGAGCUUCAACAUUUGUUUUCAAGAACAAAAUUGAUGGAACUAUAAACCUUCGUUUCUCACAUGCGGGCAACAUGUUAUGUUAGACAGAGUGAAAUCGACAGAAGAAACCAAAACAUUGGAAACAGAGACACAGAGAGAGAUCAGCAGAAAUGGCUUGGUGCAGAGUACGCUCAGCUUCAUCGACACUCUUCAUUAGGCUUCUCUGCCCUUUCAUUCUCAACAAUAACACUACUUAACGCUAUCAGUCCUGUGGUACUCUUGUUUCUAUACUUGUGGAAUCUCUUUUUUAAUCCUCAAAGUUUGAAUUAAAUUAUAUUGCCUCUGUAUUUCUGCAGAAACGGAAUCAGUUGGUGAUGACAUUAAUUCUCAAGUUGGAAGUUGCAUGCCACUUUCUUGUAUGCAUGUUGGGACCAUCAUCAACAACAUUGAGGUAAACUCAGCCAAGAUUUUGAAAAAGAAUCCACUUCAAGGUACUGCUUAGUUUCUGGAAAUGAGAAAUUGAUUGACACUAGACGUCAACCCACCAUUGAUACAGCGUCUAACCCCAGCCAUGAAGCUAAGAUGCUUAGGAAGGCUGGUCAGAGCCAUUGGUUGGGCCAAAGACCUGUGAUUAGAGGAGUACCCAUGAAUCCAGUUGAUCAUCCUCGUGGUCGAGGUGAGGGACAAGGCAAAAGUAGUGGUAAGCAUGGAAGGUGUUCACUUACACCUUGGGGCAAGCCUUGUAAGUGGUGUAAAACUGCAUCUCGUAAGAAGAAAAGGAAAUUUAGCCGUCUGAUAAUAUUGUCCUUCUGUGCUAUUUAGCCUUUUUAAUAUUGUUACAUUGUUUGUUAUAUCUUUGAUGUUAGUUUUGGACCAGCUUUUAACUGAUCCAUAAUGAAACUGAAGUUUAAUUUUCGAUUGAACUUUUACUGGUUUUACUCCUGUCAUUUCAAUUUAGCUUUGAUUUAAGAUGCUGAAUUCUGUGAUUGGAGUAUGUAGAUUGGAAAGAGAGAUAUUAUGGGAUAGAAUAUAGAUUUUGUGUUUUGGUUUCUCAUGUUUAGAGAUAUUCUGUUCUUUUUCAUUUAUUCAAUUUGGUUAGUGGUGAUCUCUUAAAGAGUUAAUGCAUGUGUGUUUAUGUACUUUUCUUUUGGCCUUGAUUCUAUUUCUUGGGGAGUUUAUACAGAUUCCUCUUUUAUGCUUCACAUGCCACAUGCCACAUGAAAGAUGAAAGCCUUUUGUGUGAUUAGAAUUGACUUGCAUCAUAGUAACUUUGAACCACUGUAACAUUUUUAUAAUAGCAGUCUGCGAUCUCCUUGAAGGAUUCAAAGCAUUUUUUUUGUUAGUCUUGGCUUGCAUUAAAAUCCUUUAUACCGAUUGGUUGGUCUCCUUUAAAGCAAUUCCUGUUUUAAGUAAUCAAAAUCUUGAUUCGGAAGUGUGUUUUAGCACUACUAAAGGUUCUUUUAAAUACUAAAUUGAUUGUGAGUCUUCUAUAUCAUCUGAUUGAAAUACAUGAAAGCGAUAUUGGCUACAAAAGUACACUUGGGGUUGUUUAUAAAGUCUUCAACAGGAUUUUUUUUUCCCCUUCCUCAUGGUUUAUUUUUUAGUUGUUGUUUAACAAAACACUUAAAAGGUUCUCUUUAUAGGUUUCUGAAAAUAAUUUUAACAUAACCAUUUUUCAGAAGCACUUUAGAUACCUGUGGCAUUUAGAAAAUUUUGUUCCAGCAUUCACAUAAUAUACAUAGAAAUUUGAAUUUAUUUAAUUAUGAGCAUGUGCUAGUGCCUAUUGGCAUCCACUUGUAUAUACAAAUGUAUUAUACAAUACAAUAUUAGCUUGACUGUAGCAUAGAGGAGAAUAGGGUCGGAAUUGGUCUGAAUUCUGAUCUUUGAAUAAAUAUAAUAGCUGAUUGAAGCUGCUCAUGUGACUCCAUUGUCAGCAGCUUACACAAGGUCUUUUAGCUUUUUAAAAAGUUUUGUGAUAUUUCAUAGUUCACAUGGAUUGCUACAGUAUAGAAUACCCAAUUAGGGCAUUUUUAAUUCCUAUGCAUAGGAGUCUUCCUUCAUGCGCACGCGCGUACACACAUAUAUUUCCCACUUCCGUUCACUCCAAAAGUGAAAAUUGCGGGCAAUUUUUAUCUUCAGUAAAAUUGGAGUAGAUGUUGUUCUUAUUGGCGCAAAUUUGCGUACCAUGUUUGUGGGACCCUUAACCUUGCGCCUUUGUUACAAUCAUAUGCAUUCAGGCUUUUGGUAGACCCUUGGAUAGUAUGAUCAGUGUAUUAGAAUUUAGAAUUCGUGUUUAUAAGGGUCAGUUUGGUAAUGUUAUAAUUUUUAAAAUAAUUACUGUUAGCUAUACUAUAGAAAUAAUCAGUUGUGAAUAAAAUCAGUUAAACAGUUGAUAAAUUUUGUUUUUAAGGUGUUGUGAGUUUUAAACAAUUUGUAUGUAUUUAGUAAAUCUCGCUUUUAAAGUAUUAUAAGAAUGCAAAGACUUAAAUAGAUAGAAAUCUAUAAAAUUUAUUUACAUGUGCAUUUAUACAAUAAUAUUUUAUGCAUGUAUAUAAUAAUUAAUAACAGAAAUAAAUAUUUUUAUUUUAUUAAUUAUAUAUUUUUCUUAUUAUCUCAAUAUAAUUGGUAAUAAUAAUCUUUUUAAUAGUACAUUUAUUAAUCAGUAAUCGAAAUGGGCUGGAAUCGGAAUGGGGAAUGAAAAUCAUAAUAAUUUGUUUACUUUAGCUGUAGGAAUCAAAAUCACAUGGAGCUAUAUUAUCAUUAAUAUAUUUAUUUUGUCUUGGAAUCGAAAUAGAUUGUUACAAAUUACUAAACUGAUUUUAUUAUUAUCAAUAUUAUUAUUAAACAAGGUAAAGGGAAUUUUUAAUUUUCACUAGGUGUAGAAAUGUCGAUUCACUUCUCAUUCUCAUUCUCUGUUCUCAUUCCCCCUCCUCAUAGGAUUACCAUUUCACAUUCUCAAAAAUUUAUAAUUGACUCACAUUUCAUUCUCAUUCCUCCUUAUUUUGGAAGUAAAUAAGUUAAAGAAUCAUAUUCCUUUAUUCUUGUUUUUCAUUCACAUUCCUUCUCCUUAUUUUGGAAGUAAAUAACUUAAAGAAUCAUAUUCCCUUAUUCUUGUUCUCGUUCUCGUUCUCAUUCUCAAUUAGUAAGCACACUACAAAUGCAAUGAUUUUGUUUCCUAAUUAAACAAGGAUAAUUUUUAGAUUUUUAUAAUAUAUGUUAAGAUAUAUGUAGAAUUGUAUUAAAUAUGAAACUGACUCCCAAAAUCAUAUUUUAAAAAACUAUUUUUUUCUUAUUUUUUGAAAUUUAUUGUAGGCUAGGGUGAUUUUAUCAAAGUAAUUUUUUUAAAAAUUUUCGGACCCAUUUGGGAUUGUUUUUGGAAGACUCAAAAAGGAUUUUGAAUAGCUAAAAUCUAAGUUUGGUGUUUUAUAAUUUUUUUUUAAAAAAAUUACUUCUGAUAAAAUUAUCUUAUCCACGUUAAAUUUUAAAAAGAAAGGAAAAAGUAAUUUUUUAAAAUCUGAUUUUAAGAAUCAUUUUUAUACUUAAUACAAUUUCAUAAAUAUCCUGAUAUAUAUCAUAAAAAUUCAAAAUUAUCUUUAUUAGUUAGGAAAUAAAAUCAAUAAUUUUAAAAAGAUUAUUAUUAUUUCUAAUUAUAUUGAGCUAACAAAAAGAAAUAAAAUUACUAAUAUAAAAUUUAUUUUAACUAUUAAUUAUUAUAUUUACCAAUAAAAAACAUUUUAUAUACACGUUUAUAAAUAUUUAAAUAAAAUUUAUUCAUGUCGAGUUCAACCAUUUAUAUUAUUACAGCAAUUUAACAACUGGUUGUCGUUGCUCGGGAAUUAUAGAAUUACCAUAUGUUGUAAAAAUGCACUAAGCCAUGCCAUGUGUUUGAUACAGGUUAUGCUUGUUCGAUUAAAUUGUACUCACCUAUAAAUCAAAGAUUCAGUACAUGUGCAUGUUAGUGGUCUUCAGAAUCCAGAAUAAUAAAUGCCUUGAAAUGCUUGAGUUCAAUGAUUUCGCAGAAGACCAAGUUCCUUGUUAAUGAGUCAGCAUGACUGAAUCCUUCACUAAGCCAAAUUUGUUUUCACUUUUAGUUUAGAAAUUGUCAUUAAUUAAGAAAGUGUUUGAUAAAAUGCUUUGGAAGGCACUGUUCGUUGGACGUUUGCCCAGAAUUUAUGAAAUCAUUGGUGUUUCAUCCUACUUGUAACACUCUUCUUUAUUUUCUAUUCUAACGAAGAAAUCUUUUAUUAGAAAAGUGACAAGAUUGCACCUUUCAUUUGUAUGUUAAGGAGGUGUAAAAUUUUCUCGUUAAAAUCCCAUCAUGAAAAAAACUCACGGGCAAAAACCUACUGCAAAUUAAAGAAAGAAGAGUAAAUCAUGAUAAAUACACUCUCUUUUACAAUGCAAGCGGAUGCUUCAAUGAGUGGAUCAUGCGCCAAACUUGUAUAUCGUUGUUGGUAGUGCUUUGUUGAAUCAAUAUGAUAGAUUUUCACUUUUCUUUUUUUUCUUUUCUUUUUUUUUUCCUUGUGGAUACGAAAAUGAUUUGGGUUAAACUAUACUUAAUGCCGGUUUGGUACGACUUCUCUACUAAUUAAAAGAGUUUUUUUUCUUAAAUGUUCAAAAAGAUUUUUUAUUAUAAAUUGUAAUUUGAGUGGAUUUCUUGGGAUUAAACAAGUUACAUUUUUGUCUCUAUAAAGAAGUUCAAGUUAUAGAUUUUGGCAAUAGAGAUGUAGAGGUUUUUUUUUUUUCAGAGAACUAAAUUGUGGAGACUAUCUUUAUUUGGUUAUACAACUUUUUUUUUUUUAAUUUCAUAACAUAAUUUUAAAAGACUUAUUUAAUAAAUUUGAUAUUUUUUUGUAAAAAUUAUCAUUCACGUCCAAACUACUGAAGAUUUUUUUGUUAAACGCACUACUUAAAAGUUAUAUUAAUUAUAAACUUUCUAAAAAAAAAAAACAAUUCAAAGAGUUAUAGCAAACAAAGUGCUAGUUAACUUCAGUCGAUAAUAAUCUUCUAAUCCGUCCUACAAAUGACUUUCGACAAGAGUGGUGCUACUCACAUCUCUUCAAAACCCAUUUGACACCCCGUUUUCUUUAUUUAAAAUUUUAUACAUUUGAAAAUUAUUUUUUCUUUUACUUGACACUCUUCAAAUUCUAAAACUAAGCUUCAAAGAACCUUCGUCAUUAAAUCUCAUUGCCUUCCUUUAUUCUUGUUACUUGAGAAGAAGAAUGAGAGUCUGGAAGAAUGAAAGAAAAUUCAGCGAGAUAGAAAUCUAGUAAUUUCAUACCAUGAUUCAGAAUUUUUUUUUUCUCAAAAGAAUCUACUAUUCUUCUAUAUUUUAUAUAAAAAAAAGAGGAAAAGAGGAAACUGAGAGACUCUUUGUUUAAUGCUUGAAAGUUAGAAAGAAAAGGUCAGGAAGCUGCCUGGUAAUGAGAGUGAUGCAUCAGCACUAAUUUCUAUCUCGAUAGCUACCAAUUACCACCCCUAGAAAGGCUGUUGAUCAACAAGCCAUAUCUACUGGUUUCCUUUCUUUAAAAGUUCUAAUGGUCCCCUUAAAAAUCUCUAUAUGCUCAGUCUUCUCAUGAUAUAUCUGAUUUUCGCUGAGAAUUAUAGCAAGCGCUUCAGAUAUCAUAAUACUUUGUGACUGACUACUGUGCAUGCUUAAUUAUAAGAUUAUUCCUUGUGGCCAAAUAAAAUGACCCCCUUUAGAGCCUCUGUAUUUGAAAAAGCAAGACAAUGAGCUUAAUUAUUGUCAAGGUCUCCAGUAGGAUACUCCUAAAUCCAUAUACCCACCCACCAGAACUCCAAUCUUGAAACUUAUAGAUCAAACCAUAACUUAAUGUGCCUGGCAACCAGGGAUAUGUCAGGCCUUUAAAAAACCACUACAUACAUUUGAGUCUGAAAUUGCUCCAAUUAGUAUUAUGAUUAUUAUUUUAAAAAACUCAACCUAAGCAAAGUGCCUCAGCAUACAAUAUUUAUUGACAACUAAAAAGUAAUAGUGGGUGGGGGUUGCCCUGGGUUUUGUUUAAAAAUUGAAGUAAAAAAUUUUCAAAUUUCAAAUUUCUAGUACAAAGAAAAUUGAUGACUAAAUUAAAUUCUGCAAAUUAAUUUCUAAUAUUACAUGAAAAUAUAUCAAGUUAAUUGGUAACAUUGUUAAUCACUUAAUCCUCAAUCUAAUACGUUAUGUAUUUGUUACUCUGUCUUAAAUCAAAAGUGGCGGUGAUUUAUUUUUAUUUUCACUAAUAAGAAAGGCAUGUUAGAGCUUUUAUUUUGUUGAAAAUGAACCAAAAAACUCCGAUUGGGAGAUUAUAAAUGUAUUUAACAAUAAUUUAACUUCCAUUUUGAAAGUCAUUAUAUUGUUUAUUCAGGAGAAGCGUUCUUUUAUAUUUUAUAGAUAUAAUGUUUGCUAAUCCUAAUUUAAGCUAAAGCAUAUGCAUUUCCUAAUUAAUUCUAAUUUAAGCUUAUUCAACUGCAUUCAAUUAAUGUUCGAUAAUACAAAUUCUAAAUACUAUAUACUCUAAGAAUUUUAAUCGUAAUGACAAGGUGAUCAUUUAAUUAUUACCGUUAAAUUAUAUAUGUAUGGUGGAGACGAGUCCACACGGUUUUGACGAGAAAUUAAAGACAAUAUUUAGUUAAGCUAGUAGUAUUUGUUCUGUUUAGUACGUCGUUUUACCAGCAAGCAUCCCGGCAAUGCACGCAUUAAUAAAAAAAUUUAUCUGUUUGGACUGAUUGGUAGUGAAAAAUUCCACAUACUUUAAAUUAAGAAAAUGCUAAGUAUCUUAAAGAAAACAAUUAAAAUAUUGUCACUUGAUGCUUGAAUCAUUAUUGUUAAAUAUCUCCGUUGAGUUGUAUUCCCCAGCUGUGAGUAUCAUUAUUGUCUUUGCUAUCUAAUCAAUUCAAUUUUCUUUCUGGAGACAAGAUUUUGAUUCCUUUCAUCGUUACAAAAACGGAACCAUGGUUGAUGUGGGAGAGAUCUUACUCAACGCCUUCUUUCAGGUGUUGUUCGACAGGUUGGCUUCCCGUGAUUUGCUCAGCUUUGUCCGUCAACUUGGAGGGGGGGUCGAUUCCGAGCUCAAGAAGUGGGAAAGAAAGCUGAAGAUGAUUCAGGCGGUGCUCAACGAUGCAGAGGAGAAGCAACUGACUGAUGAGGCUGUGAAGAUGUGGCUGGACGAUCUCCAAGACUUGGCUUAUGACGCUGAGGACAUUCUUGAUGAGUUUGCUACUCAAGCUUUGGAAAGCAAGUUGAUGGAGCAAAAUCAGGAUAGCUCUGGCCAGGUUCUCAGUUUCAUCCCGGCUAGUUUGAAUCCGAAUGCUAUUAUGUUCAAUUAUAGCAUGGGGUCCAAGAUUAAAGAUAUUACUAGCCGGCUGGAGCAACUCUGCCAAGAAAGAAUUGAACUUGGACUGCAGCGGAUUACUGGAGGGGCAUCAUCAACUGCUGCUGCUACACAGCAGAGGCCGCCCAGUUCGAGUGUCCCAACAGAACGUGAAGUAUUUGGAAGAGCAAAAGAUAAGGCCAAAAUUCUUGAUAUGGUAUUGGCCGAUACCCCAAGUGAUCAUGCCGACUUUGUUGUAAUACCCAUUGUUGGCAUGGGCGGGAUAGGAAAAACAACUCUCGCUCGGGAGGUUUACAAUGACAAGGCCGUUGGCGGUUCCAAGUUUGAUGUAAAAGCAUGGGUUUGCGUAUCUGACGUCUUUGAUGUUUUGGGCAUCUCAAAGGCACUUCUCGAGUCAAUCACCCGCAGGCCAUGUCUUCUAAACAGUUUAAAUGAAGUGCAGGUUGAAUUGAAAGUAGCUGUGGAUAAAAAAAGAUUCUUGCUGGUCUUAGAUGAUGUUUGGAACGAGGAGUACAGCUUGUGGGUAGACUUAAAAGCUCCGUUCCUGGUUGCUGCACCAAACAGUAAGAUGAUCGUCACCACACGCAAUUCAAAUGUUGCAUCAACAAUGGGGCCAGUUGAACAUUACAAUCUCAGGAGUCUAUCGGAUGAUGAUUGCUGGUCCAUUUUCAUAAAGCAUGCAUUUGAAUCUAGAGAUCUUAACGCACAUCAAAUUUCAGAAUCAUUCCGCAAGAAAGUUGUUGCCAAGUGUGGAGGCUUGGCCCUGGCAGCAAAAACACUCGGAGGCCUUCUGCGUACGACGAGGCAUGAUGCGUGGGAUGAUAUAUUAGAGAGCAAAAUAUGGGAUUUACCACGACAAAGUGGGGUUCUCCCAGUAUUAAGAUUGAGUUACCAUCAUCUUCCUUCUCAUUUGAAAAUGUGUUUUGCUUUCUGUGCAAUCUUUCCAAAAGAUUAUGAAUUCAAAGAGAAGGAGCUGACUUUUUUAUGGAUGGCCGGAGGAAUUAUUCGACAGUCAAGAAGCAAAGAGCGGCUAGAAGAUUUGGGCAGCAAGUGCUUCCAUGAUCUGGUGUCAAGGUCAAUUUUUCAGAAAUCAGCAAUCUCUGCUAGUUCUAAAUUUGUAAUCCAUGACCUUAUCCAUGAUCUUGCUGAAUUGGUCUCUGGAGAAACCAUAUUUAGGUUAGAGGAGGCCAAUACUCUGUCAAGAAGAUUUGAAAGGGUUCGCCAUUCCUCCUAUGCUUGUGGUGGAUAUGAUGGUAAAAAUAUGUUCGAUGUUUUCAAUGAAAUUGAACAUCUACGAACAUUCUUGCCAUUACGCUUACGCAUAAGAGGUGGCUUUAGUUCUGGUUACAUAAGUCGAACGGUCCUAUCUGACUUGCUGCCAAAGUUCAAAAGGUUGAGAAUGCUAUCUUUAGAAGGAUACUGUAUUGGCGAGUUACCAAUUCCAUUUGAAGAUUUGAGACUUUUAAGGUUUCUCAACCUUGCUGACACUGACAUAAGAAGUUUACCCGAGUCAACAUGCAAAUUGCUGAACUUGGAAAUUUUUAUAUUAAGAAAUUGUUCCCGUUUGAUAAAGCUUCCAGCCAAAAUGAGGAAUUUGAUCAAUUUACGCCAUCUGGAUAUAAGAGGUGCGAAGUUGCUGAAGGAGAUGCCAGUCGGAAUGAAAGAGCUGAAGAAGCUUCAAACAUUGUACAAUUUCAUUGUGGGCAAGGGUGAAACUGCAUCCGGUUUGGAAGAAUUAAAAAGUUUAAACUUUCUUUGUGAUGAACUUUGCAUUGCUGGAUUAGAGAAUGUGAAUAAUCCACAGAAUGCAAGAGAAGCGGCAUUAUGCGAGAAGCACAAUCUUGAAGCACUGACUCUAGAUUGGGGGUCUCAAUUUGACAAUUCUCGAGAUGGAGUAGUAGAAGAGCAUGUACUGGAAAUUCUACAGCCUCAUAAACGUAUAAAAAAGGUGGCAAUCAGGAACUAUAGAGGUGCAAGAUUUCCACAUUGGAUAGGAGAUCCUUUGUUCUCCAAAAUAGAGUUCCUUGAAUUGGAGAACUGUGACAAUUGUGUAUCUUUGCCAUCGCUUGGCCGUUUGAGUUCACUUAAACACCUUGCUGUUAAAGGGCUGAAGAAACUAAAAAGCAUAGAGUCUAAGGUUUAUGGGGAGGGUUUCUCAAUGCCUUUUCCAUCAUUGGAGAUUCUAAGUUUCGAGAAUUUGCCAGAAUGGGAGCAUUGGGACACCGAUAUCAAAGGAAAUGUACUUGUUGAAAUAUUUCCUCGUCUCCAUAAACUUUCCAUUGUGGAAUGUCCCAAACUCUCCGGAGAACUGCCUGAUCUCCUGCCCUCCUUGGAGACACUUGUUGUUAGUAAAUGUGAAAAGUUGGUAGUUCCAUUGUCUUGCUAUCCGAUGCUCUGCAGAUUAGAAGUUGAUGAGUGCAAGGAACUAGCGUGCGCGACUCCAAUUGAUUUUAAGUUGAUAAAGUCUGUGACUAUUUCAAAUUGUUCACUAGACAUGUAUGGAUGCAAGGGGAUGCUAUACAAUGGUCCAGCUGGCUCUUCACUGCCGAAAUCCAUGACUAUUACAAAUGUUUUGGCGUUUGGAAAAUUAUUGAAGCCUGAAUUUCAGAUAUUAGAAACUUUGGUAAUUGACAAUUCUGAACAGCUCAUGUCAUGGAGGCAGCGUGGGAAUUUCCGAGAAGAAUAUUUGGCCGUUCGCCGAAGGCUUAUCAAACCAUUACAAGGGCUAAAUAUGCUCGCUUCCCCAGAAGAGGUAACAAUUGAAGAAAGUUGUGUGAGUUUUGUUUUAUUUUCAGAGAUCAAUUUCUUUCCCAGAAAUCUGCGCUCUCUUCUAAUUUGCAGCAGCACAGCUUUAAAAUCCUUACCCGAUGAAAUGAUGGACAACAGUUCACAACUCAAAAGGUUGUAUAUCAGAGAUUGCGAUUCUCUAACAUUCAUCACAAGACGCAAGCUACCUUCAUCUCUAAAAAGUAUAGAGAUUCAGAAUUGUGAGAAACUGCGACAUUUGUUCGAUGAUAAAGAGGAUGCUUCUUCUUCUUCUCCUCCUUCAUCCUCGCCCUCCCCAGUGAUGCUGAAACACCUGAGUAUAAAUAAUUGCCCAGAGCUCACCAGUUUAUCAACAGGAAUCCAAUUACUUGAGGCGCUUGAACACCUCGACAUACGGGAUUGUCGAAAGCUGGAGUCAUUACCAGAUGGCCUUCACAAUCUUAACUGUUUACAGGAGAUUACUCUAAACAGUUGUCCAAGUCUUCUUAGAGGGCUUCCCAACACGAUUUCAAGGGUUGACAUUUACAGCUGUCCAAGUCUUGUUUCCUUCCCAGAAAGAGGACUUCCCAACACGAUUUCAAAGGUUGACAUUUUUAAUUGUGAGAAGCUCGAAGCCCUGCCCAAUGACAUGCACAAACUCAACUCUCUUCGAGAUUUAAGCAUAUUGGGGUGUCGAAAUCUUGUAUCCUUUCCAGAAGAAGGUUUUCCUACCAGUCUAACAUCACUUAGAAUUGGAGAUUUCAAAAUGUAUAAGACACUCAUCCAGUGGGGGUUGCACAGGCUUACCUCUCUUAGACGCCUCUAUAUCGUUGAUUGUGAUGACGAAGCAGAGUGUUUUCCAGACGAGGAGAUAGGAACGAUGCUGCCUACCUCCCUAACUCAUCUAUCCUUUCGGGGAUUCCGAAAUUUGAUAUCUCUGUCUUCGACGGGUUUUCAGAGCCUCAACUCUCUUCAAUACUUGUGGAUCAGGGAUUGCCCGAAUCUCACAUCAUUCCCAGAGGUGGGCCUUCCAUCCUCACUUUUGGCAUUAUGCAUUAUCGAUUGUCCAAAGCUUAAAAAAGCGUGCAAAAGAGAUCAAGGAAAAGAGUGGUCCAAAAUUGCUCACAUCCCUCGCAUUGACAUAGACAGGAAAUUCAUAUACGAUCCAGAAUCAGAGGAGUAGAUUCUACUAUUAAGGUCAGUUGAUUUGUAUUAUCCGCCAUAACAAGCUCCUCCUUUUUUUUUAAAUAAUAAUAAUAAUUCUUACCAAUUAAUGAUGGUAAGAUGUGUACUUAUUCUUUCUUCCGGACAACCUUGCCUUCUUUCUUCGGUAGCAUAUCUAAUGAAUAUUUCUCUGUUUAGUUAAGGAUGAAUGCUUGGAGUGGAGUAUUUGGUAACAUUUCUGCCGUAGAUGAAACCUUGAAGAAAUGCCUGCACUUCCUGAGACCAAAUACAGGUCUGAUUCACAACAACACCUGUCCCAGAAAAUAUGAUACAAGCCAAAGCCAUGUUCUGAAGCAGAAAUAACGCAUUUCAAUUUUUAUCUGGUAAAAAUACACAGCCCUCGCCUACAAAAUUCUUAUCUUGGCUUUCACGGAUAUUUUUAUCACGUAACCACGUGAGGAAGCAUGUGCUGGAGCCUGAAUUCAGUUAGUUAAAGUUUGUUAACCACGUGUCAACAAACUGUAUAAUCUGGAAAAUACGCUAGCUAUUGAAACAGGGUAUAAAGGCUGGUUUUUCAGGGACUAUCGAGAGCUGAUUCUAGAGUCUUGUAGAAAGAGGUUUGUGAGAGAGAAAGUGUCAUCUUGUUCUCUGUAAAAUCCGAUAUAGGGCUCUGUAACGAUCUCCAUUGUUGAAUCAAUAAAACUCAUCUAGAAGCUUCUCCCGUGGACGUAUUCUGAGCAUUCAAUGCACAGCUGAACCACGUAAUAUCUUGGUUUCAGUGGGUUCUUGUUUUGGUUCUUGAUAAAUUCUUGUUGUUGUAUUGAGGUGUGAUUUGAUGUGUCUAAACUUGCAUCUGUGCAACUUGAAUUGAUUUGAUGAUAAUAAUCUUGGGCAGUGAUCAGAUUCGUUUAGUUUAAAGAACAAGCUGAUUACUACCGUACCUAUGCAUGGACCUGUAACCUGUGCUGACAAAACUGAAACUAUGAGUUUGAGGUAAAAAGGUCCUGGACCCUCACAGUUUAACUUGGACUUGUAGCUUUCUGGAUAAACACAUUUUAGAAGUUUGCAAUUUGUUGUUAAUUACGGUAUGUGAUUUUCUUUUUUGUUUUCGCUUUUGUAGAAUCUACCGUAUUACAUAUUGGCAGUUGUAUCUGAGGUACCAUUUUUGCAUUUAACUUGCCUUUAUCUGUUUUGCCUGUUACUUAACAACACAUCAUUUCCCAAAGAUUUGGAGAAGCAUCUCAAGAUGCUUAACAAACUUGACAAACUUCAAGAUGCUCCCAAGCCUUGAUUCUUCACAAAGGAAGACCUGUGAGUACACUUAUGCCCGCAAUUAUUGUGAAGUGAUUGCAACUUUGAUGCAGCGAAACGGUUUGCUGGUGCAAAGCUUUAAAACUGUUAAGAAUUACCCUGCAGGCUUGUUGGAUGUUGUAUACUCCGAAAGCCACCAACACCAAGAACUAUAACAGCAAGACUAGGUUUGCAUUAAUUCAAUUAGCUGAAAUAAUGAUGCAAAUGGCACUAUCCAGCUCGACUUAGAGACUAGUCAGGUCAAUCAUCCAUUUCAUCAACAGUUAAUGUCAGGAUGGUGGCUAGCAGAGGAAACAAAGGAUAUGUUGGAAUCAAUAAGAACAGUGAGAAGCAUGAGAGGAGCUUUGAUUAUAAGUAGGCUCAAUGAACUAGUGUUGGUAAGUGGUAAUUAGAGCAAUUUGUGAGCUUAGUAGAGUUUCAAUAUUUUCUGUUUGGGAUAUAGUUGAUAAGUUGAUACUCUGAUAAAGAAGGCUGAUUAUAGUAGCUGACUAUAUUAACCGGGUUCUCUUUUUUGGUUUGCUGUUGUUUUUUCUUUCAAUAUCUUUUUCAACAUUAGGUUUAAGAACAAGCUUGGGUUUGAUUAUCAGGUAAGAACAAAUGAAUGCUUUAACCAUGUUUCUCACUUAUCACAAUGCACGGAUUGAAGGCGUCUGAGUUGAUCCUGAAACGUGCCUCAGCAAGUAUUAUGAUUAUUAUUUUAAAAAACUCAACCUAAGCAACGUGCCUCAGCAUACAAUAUUUAUUGACAACUAAAAAGUAAUAGUGGGUGGGGGUUGCCCUGGGUUUUGUUUAAAAAUUGAAGUAAAAAAUUUUCAAAUUUCAAAUUUCUAGUACAAAGAAAAUUGAUGACUAAAUUAAAUUCUGCAAAUUAAUUUCUAAUAUUACAUGAAAAUAUUAUCAAGUUAACUGGUAACAUCGUUAAUCACUUAAUUCUCAGUCUAAUACGUUAUGUAUUUGUUACUCUGUCUUAAAUCAAAAGUGGCGGUGAUUUAUUUUUAUUUUCACUAAUCAGAAAGGCAUGUUAGAGCUUUUAUUUUGUCGAAAAUGAACCAAAAAAACUCCGAUUGGGAGAUUAUAAAUGUAAUUAACAAUAAUUUAACUUCCAUUUUGAAAGUCAUUAUAUUGUUUAUUCAGGAGAAGCGUUCUUUUAUAUUUUAUAGAUAUAAUGUUUGCUAAUCCUAAUUUAAGCUAAAGCAUAUGCAUUUCCUAAUUAAUUCUAAUUUAAGCUUAUUCAACUGCAUUCAAUUAAUGUUCGAUAAUACAAAUUCUAAAUACUAUAUACUCUAAGAAUUUUAAUCGUAAUGACAAGGUGAUCAUUUAAUUAUUACCGUUAAAUUAUAUAUGUAUGGUGGAGACGAGUCCACACGGUUUUGACGAGAAAUUAAAGACAAUAUUUAGUUAAGCUAGUAGUAUUUGUUCUGUUUAGUACGUCGUUUUACCAGCAAGCAUCCCGGCAAUGCACGCAUUAAUAAAAACAUUUAUCUGUUUGGACUGACUGGUAGUGAAAAAUUCCACAUACUUUAAAUCAAGAAAAUGCUAAGCAUCUUAAAGAAAACAAUUAAAAUAUUGUCACUUGAUGCUUGAAUCAUUAUUGUUAAAUAUCUCCGUUGAGUUGUAUUCCCCAGUUGUGAGUAUCAUUAUUGUUGUUUGUGCGAUAUGUUUCGACGAAGACCAGCAGUGAUGAGCAGGCGUCUGGUAGCAGGGUUCCUCGAACAGGUAUAUCUUGCAAGAGUCUGGUAGCAGGGGGAGCAAGAGCAGGAGUAUCCUGCUCGUCCACGAGUACGUCAUCCACGAGGCCGGUCUCCUGUUGGGAGCGUAAAGCCAUUCCUGCUAUAUUCCUGCUAGCGGUUGAGUCGAGGAGACCCGGUCAACGACAGUUGACGAGACAUGCUCUCCAGUCCGAGAAUCAAGGCGCGAAGGCCACGCAACCACCCACGACUACGGAAAUGGAGCAUCCACUUUCGAGAAGUGGGAGGAUGACAAGCGCAAAGGGAGGAAAUGCAUGGGCUCAGAAGUGGCCUAUAAAAAGGUAACCAACGAAGGUAAAAGGGUUAGCAAUUUUGAGAUUAUAACAGAGACUAAGGAAAUUCUAAAGAAGAGAAAACUAUUAAAAAGCCAUAAGAUCUGUGGCAAGCGUUCCCAGAGCCUUCAUAUCUGACUUGAGCGUCGGAGGGUUUACGCCGGGAAAACAACCGGCGUGCUCUGACUUGUUUCUGUGGACGCAGGAAUACUUGGAGAAGAAAGCAUACAAGGAGAGAUCCUGGUCGAGGUGAGGUUGAUUGAGCAGAUAUCCUGGUCGUAGGAAGAGCGUAACCAGAAUCUCGCAUCAAUAUUUUGGCGCCGUCUGUGGGGAGCUGAGCAAAAAGUUUCUGUUGAUAGCAAAGAAGAGGAGUGAAGCAAGUGAAAAGCAAUGGAGACAGGAGGAAGUAGUGCACAAGGGGGUGAUAUGAGGCUUAACGAUUCCGUGACGCUGAGGGAGAUAGCCAGUGAAGCACGGGAAAAAGCCAUGUUCGACCGGAUGGAACGGAUGGAAAAGCAGAUGGAGACCUUGACAACCAUCCUACAUGAGCUGCGGAGCGAACGAAGGGUAACCCAGGAGGAAAGGGUGAGAGGUGGUGGAGUGGCACCAGGUCCCGAUAGUGCGAGGAGAAGUCAAACCACCGGGAGAUUUGGUGGUGAGAGAGGUAACAUACCUCUGCAGGGAAAUUGCAUAGAGAGGAAGAGCAGUCCCCGGCAAGACAGAUUUUUGACGAGGACGACGGGGUGGCGAAUGCAGAGGAAGCAGAGUUGAGGCAAUACUUGCAUGAUGUAGUGCAAGAGCGGGAUCAAGUCGCAGCACGUGACCCUGGUCGUGCAGAGCAGCUGGAGGAGGAAGUGUGCAGGCUAGCGCAGAUAAUUGACGACAUACAAGGAAGGAGCAGAGCUCCUGGUUGGAGGAUAAUGCUGGACGGAGAAUCACCGCUCGCAGCAGAGAUCAUGAGGGCAGUUAUUCCAAGAGAUUUCCGCCUCCCAGACCUUAGAUAUUCGGGAUGAACUGAUCCGCUGGUGCACAUAGAGCGCUUCAACGACAUAACUGGGGUACAAGGAUUAUCUCAAUCCUAAAGGUGCAGGGUGUUCCCACUAUCCCUUGAGGGACGCGCACGAGAGUGGUACAGGAAACUUCCUCGGGGGAGCAUUAAAACCUUCGAGCAGAUGUGCCAGGAAUUUGCAGAACAGUUCCGUGGGGCAAUGGCACCAGAAGAUGACAUGAUGGAGUUGAAAAACAUGAAGCAGGGGGAACAAGAAACACUUCGGGAAUUCAUCAAGAGGUUUCACCGUGCUGUCCUCGACUUGGGAGCCUUCAACCACCCUCAAACGUUAAGGGGAUUGAAAGAAGGGGUGAAGAUAGGAAGGCUGUGGUACAACUUGAGAAGCCCAGUUAUUCAGACGUAUGCGGCCGCAUACGAGCAGGCUAAGAGAGACAUUGAGAUUGAAGAGGAGAAGGCAGCACAGAUUAAGACAGACCAGUUAGAAGGGUGGGGGAGGAAAGAGAAGAAAGCAUUACCGGGGAAUGGGCCGAUCAGGAGGAGGAACCACCAGGCCUCGAGUAGUGGAGCAGAAGGUCGGGUAACUGCUUACCAGCCUCAUCAGAGGCCACUACAGUAUCAGCACAGCAGGGCGCAACCUCCUCGUUCCCCAGCUGGGGAGCCUUGGAGAAGGCAUGACUCGGCGUAUGGUGGUCUUCAUCAACACUCCCACGGUAGUAGAAGGGGCAGACCAGAAGCGCUGCCACCGCCUCCAACUCAGAACGGAGCAAAUAGAGAAAGGGCAGUGCACCUGAUCGACCAGAACCAGGACUAUGGGCGAUAUACUUCCUUGAAGAUGUCCCUGGCCGAGGUGUACGAGGCCAUAAAGGAUCGAGGGUCGUUAUACCUCCCUGCCCCAAUAACAAAGCUACCCAGCAGGAGGGAUAGGGGACGCUAUUGUAAGUUCCAUGGCACUCAUGGCCACACCACAGCAGAUUACAGGGAUCUCAAGACCCAGGUUGAAGAUUUGGUGAGAAAUCGGUAUCUGGACGAGUUUAUAGAUGGGACCUUCCCAAUGGUAGCCUCGACCAGCGAAUGGGAGCAGAGUGACAGGAACUUGAGGCGCGAGCAGCCUGCAGUAAGGGUGAUAGCUGGGGGCCCAACAUUGGCCGGAGAUUCCAACAGGUUGAGGAAGAAUUACGCUAGAUACGCCAUGACCAGCAAAGAUGUAUUCUUCACCACCCCAGCAGCCAAACGUGCAAGAGUCAGGCAAGUGCCAAUUAUGUGGACAGAUGAGGAUGAAGAAGGGAUUCUAUACCCCCACGAGGAUGCUUUGGUCAUCAAGGCCACUGUUGCCAGCAAGAAGUUUGACAGGAUACUGGUUGACACAGGGAGCUCAGUUGAUGUGUUGUUUAAGUCAACCCUGGAGGAGAUGGGAAUAGCAGACCUGAAGUUGGAUUACACCAAUACCUCCUUGAAGGGGUUUGGAGGAGGAAAGUUGGUCCCUCUGGGCGUGGUCGAGCUGCCUAUCACGAUUGGGAGCUCCCCGACAGAAGGGACAAUGAUACUGGACUUUGUGGUAGUGGAUGAGGAAGGUCCUUAUCAGAUGAUCCUAGGCCGGCCAUUUCUGACGAUGAGCAAAGCGGUGCUGUCCAGCCAUUAUCUGGCUCUCAAGUACCGGGUGAAUGGGGUAGUUGGAGUGGUACGAGGAGACCAGAGGAUCGCAAGAAGCUGCUACUCCUCGGCAGCAAAGGAAGCAAUGCAGAUAACAUCCCUUGAUACCCGAGUGGAAGCCAGGAAUGGCAGCUAGUUGGACCCGGAGUUUACAAGCUGGUUCGCACGGAUGGCCACAAGGUGAAACGCCCAUGGAGCGCGACACACCUCAGGAAAUAUUUCUAGUAAGACUUACUCAUCUUUUAAAGUUAUUUCUGUUCGUGCCCGUUGUUUUCUAUUUUUCAUUUCUUAUUUCAAAGCAAUCUCAUGUAAGCCGAAUUCAAUAAUAAAUGAAUCAAUGAGGAGUUUCAGUCAACUACACUGUUCAAGAAAUUAUCAAAGGCAUGCAAAGGCUAGUCAAGUCUCAAAGCCUGUUUAUGGCGAGACCAGAAGCCAAGCGUGCCAGGAUCUGCUCGACCACGAGAAGGCGAGCAGAGUCCCAAGCUUUCAAGAAAUUAUCAAUGGCAUGCAAAGGCUCACCAAGUCUCAAAGCCUGUUUAUGGCGAGACCAGAAGCCAAGCGUACCAGGAUCUGCUUGACCACGAGAAGGCGAGCAGAGUCCCAAGCUUUCAAGAAAUUAUCAAAGGCAUGCAAAGGCUCACCAAGUCUCAAAGCCGGUUUAUGACGAGACCAGAAGCCAAGCGUUCCAGGAUCUGCUCGACCACGAGAAGGCGAGCAGAGUCCCAAGCUUUCAAGAAAUUAUCAAAGGCAUGCAAAGGCUCACCAAGUUUCAAAGCCUGUUUAUGACGAGACCAGAAGCCAAGCGUGCCAGGAUCUGCUCGACCACGAGAAGGCGAGCAGAGUCCCAAGCUUUCAAGAAAUUAUCAAAGGCAUGCAAAGGCUCACCAAGUCUCAAAGCCUGUUUAUGGCGAGACCAGAAGCCAAACGUGCCAGGAUCUGCUUGACCACGAGAAGGCGAGCAGAGUCCCAAGCUUUCAAGAAAUUAUCUAAGGCAUGCAAAGGCUCGCCAAGUCUCAAAGCCUGUUUUAUGGCGAGAUAGAAGCCAAGCGUACCAGGAUCUGCUCGACCACGUGAAGGUGAGCAGAAUCCCCAAGCAUCGGAAUAUUUUCCAAGGCAUGCAAAGGCUCGCCAAGUCUCAAAGCCUGUUUUAUGGCGAGACAGAAGCCAAGCAUGCCAGGAUCUGCUCGACCGCGCGAAGGCGAGCAGAAUCUCAAGCAUUGAAGAAUUUUCCAAGGCAUGUGGCAAAACCAUAUGCCGAGCCAGAACCUGCUAAACUAGACGAAGACGAGCAGAUUCUCAGACGAAAAAUAACUCAUGAUUACAACACAAGAAAGUAAUCAAAAACAUUUUUAUUAAUUUGUUAAUAAUUAACAGAGGAGAUAAUCUUCACAAACAUUGUUCAUUACAAUACAAGAAAUAUAUUAAGAGGACGGUGGAUCCGUAAGCCGAGCAGCCUCAGUCGGUUGGUCCACCUCAGGUGCUGGGGGAGUAUCACCGGUCGCGUCCGGGGGGGUGCUUGCCUCACCCACAUCAACAGGAACGGCACGAGGAGGAGAGUUUUCCUCAACUACGAUUGGUUCCACCGUUUCGGCAUCUUCCUUUGCAGCCUCCUCGUCCAUAUGUUGGGCGACACCAGUUGCAAGGUCGUCCAUCUUCAGAUCAGGAUGCUGCUUCCCGAGGACGACCAUGAUGCAACGAUAGGAAUGCCGAAGCCCCUAGUCGUACUGGUUGUCGGCCUCCCUCUCCAAGUUCUCGACCUGAGCUCGGUGGGAAUCGCGGAGAGAUUCGAGCUGAGCCUCAUAUAUAGCCUUCUGCCUUUGCAGAUCCUCCUCGACCUUGGUCAGCUCCUCCUCGAGGGUAAUGGCUUUUGCUUGAGCAAGAGAUUCUUGCUCUAUCAGCUUGAGGUUCUCAACAUUCAGCUCCCCUGCUUUCUUCUCGGCAGCGUCAGCUCUGGUCGUCGCCGAUUGAAUGUCCUCCUUAAUCUUGCGGUCGUAGCGGCCAACCUUCGCCUUGUAAUAGGUGGUCAUGCAGCUGAGGUAGAAAGCGCUAUACUGCAUGGCCCCCACCAGCUCACCCAAGGUGCAGCCGUCAAAGUCCUCCAGGUCCUUCUUGCUCACGAGUUUAGAUAACUCAUUGAGGUAGGGGACCAAGUGUUCUGCUUGGCUGUCAGGUAAGCGAGAUCGAGGCCCGACAGGAGGAGAAGAGGAAGCAGGAUCCGUGGCUGCUCCACUAGUUUCCCCAACUUUGGCAGGAGCAGGAGGUAAAGUCUUCAAGGGAGAGACUUGCUGUACGAUGUUGGCCUGCUUUGCAGAAGGGGCGUCCUUGUUCUGGUCCCUCUUCGUGGCUUGAGGUUGAGAACGUUUCCUGUUCAGAGCCCCAAUCACAGCGUCCUCCAUCUUAUGGCCAGGGAGUACCAAGCGAGACUCGAGCAAGUUGUAAACAGUUAUCAAUUCUCGGCUCGGGCAAGAGUUGGCUAGUAUAGCCUCGACCCGUUUGAGCUGAUCAGGUUGGAGCGAGAAGUGAACACCCCAAGAACCUGCAACACAAACAAACAUUUGAUUAGAGACAAACCAGUAAAGUGCAAACAACAAGGGAGACAAGACAUCUAAUACGAGCAGGCAACCUGGGACCAUGAAACGGGGUGGGACGCGACAAUCCUUCCCGUCUAUUUGUGCAACUUGACCCCAAGGACCCCCAGCAAAAAAGAAUUUCCUCUUCCAAGUCCCACCACCACCAGUUGGAAGAUCAGUUAUGGGUUUCUUGCUCUUGGUACUAGAUUGGAAGUAGUACCAGCCGGCAUCUUUGGGGCUGCUCUUUAGCUGGUACAGGUGCUUCACCUCAUCAACCGUGGGCUCGCUUUGGCAACAUCUGUCCCACAAUAUGAACAGACCAGAGAGCACCCUCCACCCAUUGGGGUUCAGUUGACCAGGAGCUAGAUUGAGCCCGUGGAGUAUGCGAGCAAAAUAGGGUUGCAAGGGGCACCUUAACCCGUACUUAAAACUCUCCUGGAACAAGGUGACAUAUCCCCUAGGAGGCCUGCUAGGACUAUCUUUUUUUCCUGGGAUCCUAAGGAGUACUUCACCAGGAAUAUGAUACCUGAGCCAGAGGUCAUCCAGCUCGUUGAAUGUGGUCGUGCAGGUCAUGUAAUCAAUAGCAUAAUCCCGCAACAAGGCUCUACCUCCUACUGUACUACGCCCUUCUGGUCGCAGUGUUCCCGGUGAAGAUCCCUCACCAGAGUCACCUCCUUGAUCCUCACUUAGGGUGUCUUCCGAGCCAGAAGGUCCUUCCUCGCCACUACUUCCGCUCGUGGAGGUUGUUUGGGGGGACAUCCUCCUAGCGCUAGUCCCGACACUAGACCUAGUGGGCUCUAAGGGGAUCCCGGGGUCAAAAGCAGAAUCAGUGAGCAGACUAGGCAAGAAACCUAGUUCGUCGUCAUCAGUCUCAAUGACUUUCUCCUUACCCUUCGACAUUCCCUAAGUUCUAACCAAAACACCACCACCGACUACAACCCCAAGUAAAGCAAAGAGAAAAGAAAUUAUCUACAACUAUCCGAGACCGAGGAGAUAGAAGUAAUACCUGAAGUAAUGGUUCAGUUAGAGAAAGGCAGGGGAGGAGACUUUUAUGCCGAGACUUCUUUGCCGGAGAGACAGAGACAGAGAUGGAGUAAAUGACGAAUUUUCCCUUUGAGAGGUUUUGGGUUUUCCUAAUGGAGAAUGAACUUUUGGAUUGCCAGCAUUUAAUAGCAUCGAAUCCCAAGGGUCUCGUAACCGUCGGUUUAAAAUUCAAAUAGAUGGGUAGAUUUCUGCCACAUCACCUGGUCCACAAUUAAAUGCGACACGACUCUUGGCAGCCUUUUCCUAUCCCGCGCGAGCAAGAACUGUCGAGUUUCUACUGUUGGCUCACUACGCUACCCAACACAAGAAACUGGGGGACUGGUGUUUGUGCGAUAUGUUUCGACGAAGACUAGCAGUGAUGAGCAGGCGUCUGGUAGCAGGGUUCCUCGAACAGGUAUAUCUUGCAAGAGUCUGGUAGCCGGGGGAGCAAGAGCAGGAGUAUCCUGCUCGUCCACGAGUACGUCAUCCACGAGGCCGGUCUCCUGUUGGGAGCGUAAAGCCAUUCCUGCUAUAUUUCUGCUAGCGGUUGAGUCGAGGAGACCCGGUCAACGACAGUUGAUGAGACAUGCUCUUCAGUUCGAGAAUCAAGGCGCGAAGGCCACGCAACCACCCACGACUACGGAAAUGGAGCAUCCACUUUCGAGAAGUGGGAGGAUGACAAGCGCAAAGGGAGGAAAUGCAUGGGCUCAGAAGUGGCCUAUAAAAAGGUAACCAACGAAGGUAAAAGGGUUAGCAAUUUUGAGAUUAUAACAGAGACUAAGGAAAUUCUAAAGAAGAGAAAACUAUUAAAAAGCCAUAAGAUCUGUGGCAAGCGUUCCCAGAGCCUUCAUAUCUGACUUGAGCGUCGGAGGGUUUACGCCGGGAAAACAACCGGCGUGCUCUGACUUGUUUCUGUGGACGCAGGAAUACUUGGAGAAGAAAGCAUACGAGGAGAGAUCCUGGUCGAGGUGAGGUUGAUCGAGCAGAUAUCCUGGUCGUAGGAAGAGCGUAACCAGAAUCUCGCAUCAACAAUUGUCUUUGCUCUCUAAUCUAUUCAAUUUUCUUUCUGGAGACAAGAUUUUGAUUCCUUUCAUCGUUACAAAAACGGAACCAUGGUUGAUGUGGGAGAGAUCUUACUCAACGCCUUCUUUUAGGUGAUGUUCGACAGGUUGGCUUCCCGUGAUUUGCUCAGCUUUGUCCGUCAACUUGGAGGGGGGGUCGAUUCCGAGCUCAAGAAGUGGGAAAGAAAGCUGAAGAUGAUUCAGGCGGUGCUCAACGAUGCAGAGGAGAAGCAACUGACGGACGAGGCUGUGAAGAUGUGGCUGGACGAUCUCCAAGACUUGGCUUAUGACGCUGAGGACAUUCUUGAUGAGUUUGCUACUCAAGCUUUGGAAAGCAAGUUGAUGGCGCAAAAUCAGGAUAGCUCUGGCCAACUUCUCAGUUUCAUCCAGGCUAGUUUGAAUCCGAAUGCUAUUAUGUUCAAUUAUAGCAUGGGGUCCAAGAUUAAAGAUAUCACUAGCCGGCUGGAGCAACUCUGCCAAGAAAGAAUUGAACUUGGACUGCAACGGAUUACUGGAGGGGCAUCAUCAACUACUGCUGCUGCACACCAGAGGCUACCCGGUUCAAUUGUCCCAACAGAACGUGAAGUAUUUGGAAGAGAAGAAGAUAAGGCCAAAAUUCUUGAUAUGGUAUUGGCCGAUACCCUAAGUGAUCAUGCCAACUUUGCUGUAAUACCCGUUGUUGGCAUGGGCGGGAUAGGAAAAACAACUCUCGCUCGGGAGGUUUACAAUGACAAGGCCGUUGGCGGUUCCAAGUUUGAUGUAAAAGCAUGGGUUUGCGUAUCUGAUGUCUUUGAUGUUUUGGGCAUCUCAAAGGCACUUCUCGAGUCAAUCACCCGCAGGCCUUGUCUUCUAAACAGUUUAAAUGAAGUGCAGGUUGAAUUGAAAGUAGCUGUGGAUAAAAAAAGAUUCUUGCUGGUCUUAGAUGAUGUUUGGAACGAGGACUACAGCUUGUGGGUAGACUUAAAAGCUCCGUUCCUGGCUGCUGCACCAAACAGUAAGAUGAUCGUCACCACACGCAAUUCAAAUGUUGCAUCAACAAUGGGACCAAUUGAACAUUACAAUCUCAAGAGUUUGUCAGAUGAUGAUUGUUGGUCCAUUUUCAUAAAGCAUGCAUUUGAAUAUAGAGAUCUUAACGCACAUCAAAUUUCAGAAUCGUUCCGCGGGAAAGUUGUUGCCAAGUGUGGAGGCUUGGCCCUGGCAGCAAAAACACUCGGAGGCCUUCUGCAUACGACGAGGCAUGAUGCGUGGGAUGAUACGUUAGAGAGCAAAAUAUGGGAUUUACCUCAACAAAGUGGGGUUCUCCCCGUAUUAAGAUUGAGUUACCAUCAUCUUCCUUCUCAUUUGAAAAGAUGUUUUGCUUACUGUGCAAUCUUUCCAAAAGAUUAUGAAUUCAAUCAGAAGGAGCUGACUUUCUUAUGGAUGGCUGGAGGAAUUAUUCGACAGUCACGAAACAGUGAGCAGCUGGAAGAUUUGGGCAGCAAGUGCUUUCAAGAUCUAGUGUCAAGGUCUAUUUUUCAACAAACCAGCUCUGGUAGUUCUAAAUUUGUAAUGCCCUAUCUUAUCCAUGAUCUUGCUGAAUUGGUUUCUAGAGGGACCAUUUUCAAGUUAGAGGAGUCCACCAACUUGUCGUC
rnacentral:lncRNA from 1 species